CACACGAAACAAAUCACAAAUAAUGAGAUGACACAGCUCUGACACGGUGCAGGCAUGCAGAUUAUGAUGUUACGGUGCGUGAGACAAAUGAGCUGUGCACUUCUCCCCUUUGCAUGUGCGCUUUACGUAUGGCGCAGGCCGUAACUGAGCGGAUCACGUCACCGUUAAAUGGCGUGAAAGCGCUGUGAAGCGACCCUCGAGUCGUGAGGAUGACACAGACGUUCCCUCUUAACCCUUUUUAUGGCGCGGCAGCCACCUUUAACAAAGCAUGCGAGCCUUCCAAAAUAGCAGCAAAUGAUAGUGAUUUUGCACGGCGCGAUUGUUUUUGAAUGUCUGUAAAUGCUGUGCUGUGAUGCAGCUCAGACUGGGGAGAGAGCAGAGUGAGAAUACUGCGGUCAGAGACACAACCACAAGCACAGAGCAACGGUCAGAUUUGGGCCAGUUACAAGAGUGACACCCACUUAGGAUGUGUAGCCAGUGUGUGCAUGACUGACUCUCCCUCGCUCUUUCUCUGUGUGAAUGCGAGUCCAGGCGAAGAAAUGUAAAAGACAAAAAAGCACACUGCAGAGGCAUGGGGAGGAAAGGGUAUAAAGUGAAGAUGCUGACUUCACCGCUCCUUAUAAAUUGAGUCAUACAUUGAGUUGUAAAGCAAUGAAAAUUCCUCAUAAAGUCAGCCUCCAAGAAGAAGGCAGCAGGCACUGAGGAGUGGAUGGAUGGUGGUGGCUGUGGUGGAAAGAUGGCUAGACACACCAAAAACCCUUUGGUGACAGGAAUUAUGCUUCCUCUCAGUUUAAGGCACCUUUUCAGUGCUUAGGAGCAAAGAAAAAAAAAACCUGCUUUAGGUCCAUCAUAACAGGUGUCAAGGACUUUCUAGACCACCAGCACGCUAAAGAAAUAAAUUAUGAGCACAAGGCCGUAAAGGAUGGCAGCGCCGAUGCCACUAACGAUGUUUACAAUCCCUGCUACUGUUUCUCCUGGCUCAAACAUUUUGCCCUACAGGCUGCCAAAGAAGACAUCAUUCAUACUGCUUUUCAUCGCCGUCCCGCGCGUCAUUGGAUUUAAACAAUUCCCCUGUUUGCGAGGUGAACAUGUUACGCGUUUUACUGUUUUCCUGGGGUUUAAGAGCACUGAAAUGUAAGAAAGGAUGACCUUCAGCUGUCACGUUGUUUGACGGAUCUGGCUUACUUGAAGGAGUGAAGUCGCUCCAUCAUUUCAGAGGCAAUAAAUAGCGCUUCCCCUGAACGGAUUAACACGUGUGGAUCUCAAAUGCUAAAUACGUUACCGCACAUUUCGUCUGUGGAGAAGGUAGACUAUUUAGAAAAGUGUUGUGAAGUUAAUCUGCGUGAAAUGUCAUCGUGGUAUUUGCGCGUUUUUACGUUAAUUAACUUGAAGUUAAUUGCCAUUUAACCGUGCUGUCGUAAUUCGUUUUUAUUUUUGGAUUUAAAACUCCUGGCGGGUCAUUUAAUUCCCUACCGUGCACCGCUCCGUCGUCCCCGUUGGCGUUGACCCUCUUGUUGCCCAGGACCUGGACGUGUUUCCCGCUGGUGCGGCUGUACAGCUGGUUAGAGGUUGUUUGGUGGUCCCCCAGGACAGACCUCGAUGUACUUUUUCAUCCUACAUAUAUUAGUUCACUCACGAGUCACUGGAAGGGAGAAAAUUUGAUUAAGAAGAGGAAACCUGGAGAAGGAAACCUGGAGACCCAGAUGGCGGAUCUCUGUAUAUUUAAAACCCACUGUAGCAGCUUUACUGGCUGAACAGUUUCAGGACAAAGCCGAUCCAUUCGCCCCAGAAUGGUUACUAAACUGACCUCGAUUUUUAAGCUGAAUGACAUCUGACCCUUAUUGAAGGACUUAUCCAACUUAUAAACCAUGCACUAAAAGGUGCUUUAUUACAUACUUUCAACCCCGUCCUGGUGCUG